GCCCAGACUCCUACGGGAGGCAGCAGUGGGGAAUAUUGCACAAUGGGGGAAACCCUGAUGCAGCGACGCCGCGUGAAGGAUGAAGUAUUUCGGUAUGUAAACUUCUAUCAGCAGGGAAGAAAAUGACGGUACCUGACUAAGAAGCCCCGGCUAACUACGUGCCAGCAGCCGCGGUAAUACGUAGGGGGCAAGCGUUAUCCGGAUUUACUGGGUGUAAAGGGAGCGUAGACGGCAAUGCAAGUCUGGAGUGAAAGGCGGGGGCCCAACCCCCGGACUGCUCUGGAAACUGUAUAGCUGGAGUGCAGGAGAGGUAAGUGGAAUUCCUAGUGUAGCGGUGAAAUGCGUAGAUAUUAGGAGGAAUGCCAGUGGCGAAGGCGGCUUACUGGACUGUAACUGACGUUGAGGCUCGAAAGCGUGGGUAGCAAACAGGAUUAGAUACCCCCGUAU
rnacentral:rRNA from 1 species